rnacentral:rRNA from 1 species
GAUGAACGCUGGUGGCGUGCCUAACACAUGCAAGUCGAACGGACUAGAAUGAAACCUAGUGAUUUUUAGUUAGUGGCGGACGGGUGAGUAACGCGUGGGCAACCUGCCUCAUACAGGGGGAUAACACUUAGAAAUAGGUGCUAAUACCGCAUAAGCGCACGGAAUCGCAUGAUUCUGUGUGAAAAACUCCGGUGGUAUGAGAUGGACCCGCGUCUGAUUAGCUAGUUGGUGGGGUAACGGCCUACCAAGGCGACGAUCAGUAGCCGGCCUGAGAGGGUGACCGGCCACAUUGGGACUGAGACACGGCCCAA